ACCCAGAGAUUAUGCACCCAAUCGAUCCACAGUUUGAUCUUCUUUUUUUACGAAUUUUACCCAGGAAUUCCCUUGCGAGUGAGUGGUUUCUUUAGUGAUUGUUUAGAGGAGAAACAACACGGUCGGGCAAUCAUCCUCUUAAAGGAAAUGCCGCGAGAGGUAGCUCUGGGCUCUCAUAAUUUAUGAAGGCUGGGUUUUAGGGCGCCACACGGCGGCUCUCUUUCAUUCCAGGGGAGAGGAGAAGGAGCGCCAAUCCAGCGCCCGGUAGGCCUUCCCACAAGCGCGCGAUCCGGGAGAAUGCGUCGGGGAUUGGCGGCGCGCAUUUAGGUAGAUCCAGGGAUGGAUCGCGCGCGCGGACAGGGUUUUAGCUAGAUAGUAGCGCAGCGUGAGAGAAUUUUGGUCUUUUGUAGCGAGCGAGCAAGAGCAAGAGCAAGAGCAAAAUGGGGAAUGGACUGGCGAGGAUGGUGUCGGGCAAAGGGAAGAAGAACUCGUCCUCUUCUUCCUCGGCCAAGAAGGACAAGGCGGCUCGGAAGGCGGCGCAGAAGAAGCAAAAGGCGCUCGAGGAGGAGCUGAUCGAGCGCCAGGUGCUGGCGUUUGCGCUGCAGCAGCAGCAGAAAUCCAUCCGGCUGGAGCGCGCCGCGUCGCAGCGCAACAAUCCCAACUUGUUCCCGGAGAAGCUCCCGCGGAGCGCCAGCACCAGGCCGCGCUCCAUCUCGGAUCCGGUCGUGCCGCCACACCAGCUCGUCAAUGGGAUCAAGCCAGGUCUCCCUGACAAUCUCGAGAGCAAGCACUUUGUGCUGGUUCACGGAGCCGGGAAUGGAGCGUGGUGCUGGUACAAAUCCAUCGCGUUGCUGGAGGAGUCUGGCUUCACUGCCUCAACCGUGGAUCUCACUGGCUCCGGCAUCGAUCACACCGAUCCAAACACAAUCUCGACGCUCUCACAGUACGUAAAGCCGCUGCUCUCGCUCCUGGAAAAGCUUCCAGACAAUGAGAAGGUGAUACUCGUUGGCCACGACUUUGGUGGCGCUUGCAUCUCCUACGCCAUGGAAGCUUUCCCCACCAAAAUCUGCAAGGCUGUUUUCGUCUCUGCGGCAAUGGUGGCGAACGGACAGAGGGCGUCCGACAUCUUUGCUCCGGAGUUAAUCACUGCAGACGAUCUUCUACCCAAGGCUCAACAGUUUGUAUACGCGAACGGUAGCUCGUCUGUUCCCACGGCUCUCGAGUUUGACAAAAGCCUGAUCAAGGAUUUGUUUUUCAACCAAAGCCCCGCAAAGGACGUAGCACUGGCGACCGUUUCUCUGAGGCCCGUGCCAUUUGCUCCAACCCUGGAGAGGCUGUGCCUAACACAGGAAAGAUAUGGUAGCGUGCGGAGAUUUUUCAUCCAGACAACCGACGAUUGCGCACUAACGCCGGCCCUCCAAGAGAGACUGAUAAGCAGCAACCCCCCCGAGAAGGUAUUUCUUCUCAAAGGCAGCGAUCACUCCCCAUUCUUCUCCAAGCCACAGUCACUCCACAAACUUUUACUCGAGAUUGCACAGAUAGAGCCACUCAAACCAUCGUCCCCUUCUCUCCCUCCUCCCCCUCCCUCGUUACAGGACACAGAAGAGCAACAACAGCGUUGAAAACAGAAAUAUCUACAUAUAGUUGUAUAUGAUCGACUCUACAACGAGUUACUAUCAUCAACCGAGAGACAAAUGUUUUGGAAGUGAAGUGACACUAUAAAACUUUUCGGUUCUCAUGGACAAUAUCAAGCUCACAAUGGCUGCAAACAAGCACACUCCAGCCAUG